rnacentral:rRNA from 1 species
GACGAACGCUGGCGGCGUGCUUAACACAUGCGAGUCGAACGGAAAGGCCCGGCUUUUGCGGGGUGCUCGAGUGGCGAACGGGUGAGUAAAACGUGAGUAACCUGCCCUUGACUUUGGGGUAACUCCAGGAAACUCGGGCUAAUACCGGAUAGGAGCUACUGCUGCAUGGUGGGGGUUGGAAAGUUUCGGCGGUUGGGGAUGGACUCGCGGCUUAUCAGCUUGUUGGUGGGGUAGUGGCGUACGAAGGCUUUGACGGAUAGCCGGCCUGGGAGGGUGACCGGCGACAUGGGGACUGAGAGAGGGCCCAGACUCCUACGGGCGGCAGCAGUGGAGAAUAUUGCGCAAUGGGCCGACGCCUGAGACAACAACGCCGCGUGCGUGAUGACGGCCUUCGGGUUAUAAACCACUUUGGACUGUGAUGAAGCGUGAUUGACGGUAAUGUGUAAGAAAGCACCGGCUAACUACGUG